UAGGGAAUCUUCCGCAAUGGACGCAAGUCUGACGGAGCAACGCCGCGUGAGUGAAGAAGGAUUUCGGUUCGUAAAACUCUGUUGUUAGAGAAGAACAGCGCAUAGAGUAACUGUUAUGCGUGUGACGGUAUCUAACCAGAAAGCCACGGCUAACUACGUGCCAGCAGCCGCGGUAAUACGUAGGUGGCAAGCGUUGUCCGGAUUUAUUGGGCGUAAAGCGAGCGCAGGCGGUCAAUUAAGUCUGAUGUGAAAGCCCCCGGCUCAACCGGGGAGGGUCAUUGGAAACUGGUUGACUUGAGUGCAGAAGAGGAGAGUGGAAUUCCAUGUGUAGCGGUGAAAUGCGUAGAUAUAUGGAGGAACACCAGUGGCGAAGGCGACUCUCUGGUCUGUAACGGACGCUGAGGCUCGAAAGCGUGGGUAGCAAACAGG
rnacentral:rRNA from 1 species